GUAGAAUAAGGUACAUAUUGUUCUGGGGUGCCAGUCACGUUGAAUUUAUGGUUCGUCCAAAUGAAUUUACGAGCAGUAAGUGGUUUUGUUGUUGGAGGAUCAUCAGUCAUACUGUGAAGCCAACGAUGCCAUUCAGGAGGCACCAUGCUUCCAUCCACAUCCCAGAAUGUGUUUUUGCCAUUCAUUUCAGUAGUAUAUACAACCCAUCGGUGACGGCCAAAAAAUUGCUUGUUGUCUUCAUAGUAUUUGUUUCCAUAUUUGUCUUCCCC
rnacentral:lncRNA from 1 species